UACGGAGGAUCCGAGCGUUAUCCGGAUUUAUUGGGUUUAAAGGGUGCGUAGGCGGGCUUUUAAGUCAGUGGUGAAAUCUUGCGGCUCAACCGUAAAAAUGCCAUUGAUACUGAUAGUCUUGAAUUUAGUUGAGGUAGGCGGAAUGUGUUGUGUAGCGGUGAAAUGCUUAGAUAUAACACAGAACACCGAUUGCGAAGGCA
rnacentral:rRNA from 1 species